GUAUUUCCGCGGGCGCUGAGCACUAGAGAGAGCGUCUUGUGGCUGCGGCCUGCCCCUCAGCCUCCUCCGCGCGGUUACCCCUGUACCCGCCGCCAUCCGUCCUGGCGCUCCGGAUGAGUCAAUGAGGGGCAGGGCCCGAGGAGUGGUCUUCCCAAGAACCCCUGGUGGCCUCCCAAGGCCGGUGCUGUGUACCUCCUCCCCGACAAAAGGGGAAACUGAGGCCCCGAGGGGAGUGGGAAGAGCCGGCUGGACGUCAGGCCCAGCCGCUGGUGCAGUGGCCUCGUGGGCUGUGCGGCUAUCCUGGAGACAGAUGACAGCUCUCCCUUGGAUGGCUUUGCUGGUUCCGCACCAGCCAGCGCCCCCAUUUUUCCUGCAGCACCCUGAUCUGCACUCCCUGAGGGGCUCCCACUGUCCGCGGUGUGAGGAUGUCCCUGGUCCACUGUGUGCAGAGGCAUGGGAGUUGUCAUGUUGGGAACAUGCUAGACCUCAGUAUCCUUGAGGGAUGCUGCCUUGGGUCUGGAAACUGUUAGAGGAAACCCCAAGAGGUGCAGGCACUGAGCCUCUCAGGACAAUGACCUGGGGUCCCAGCUCCCCUGGAGGGGCCUCCUCAUGAUUGUUUGGGGGUUGAUCACAGACCAAGAGUGACGAGUGAUGUCACCCUGUGACUCAUGGCUGGACCUUCUUGCCCCUAUUGUCUCAGCACAACAUUAUUCGACUUUUCCCUCAGCGUGGGUGGGCAGAGGAAAAGCCCUGUGGCUCUGGGGACUUGGGAUCCAGAGUUGAAGACCCUUCAGCUGGCUCUGCCCUGCCAGUGCCACAGAGUGCCAUGGCCCAGGAAGACAGGUUUUCUUCCAUCUAGGCCAGGCCAUCCAGUGGCCAUCCUCCGUGUCCUCCCGCCUCCUCCUGGUGUGACUUCUGAAAACCAAGAAUUUGUUCCUGUUGACUUUUUCUGUGCUAUGGACCAUUGUCCUCUCACCCACUCAAUAAAUCUUGAAACAUG
rnacentral:lncRNA from 1 species